GAUUUUUUUUUUGUAAAGUCCUUCUCUUCAAAAGCCUGCCGAUGUCUUCAGAUCACAGUGAACACCUGAAAACUAAAUGAGCCAUUUUAAAAGAGAAUUGUGGGAUAUUUAUAUAUAUACGAGCAUAUUUGAAAGGAGCGUGCUUGAUAAGCAAUGUCUGCUUAUGAUGAAGGAGAAGAGGAAGGAGACCCAUAUGAGGACAUUACCGAGCCAAAAUCAGCUGCUGCUGAAUCACUCCUGCCUAAGGAACCUGAACCUGCUCCAAGCCCAGCACCACCACCCACAACUCACUACUGCUGUCUUCUGUGGAGUAUCAUCUGGUUGGCUGUGUUGGUUUCUUUUGCUUGGCCCCUGAGUGUGGCUCUGGCAGCCCUUUAUGGAUUUGCAUCACCAAUGGUUACCCUGUUAGGAUUUGAUGAUGCCACUGGAUCUUUGCUGCAAGCAGUAAAUUUGGGAAGAGAGUGUGCUCAGAACAUCAGAACUGGCAAGCCCAUCAUUUGAAGAAAAGAUCUCACAGCAUUUUAGCAUUCCAUUCUUUCACAAGCAUCCUUUAUAUGUAUUUAGCACUAACAGUCCACCUGUAUCUCUUCUUUUGACCAUUCACAUUAAAAAGUACUUAAUUCAUUAUAAAA